UAAUAGCAGUAAAUAUCCAUAUGGUUUAAAAGAUUCACUGUACUUACAUACCAAGCAUCAAUUAACACUGCUAGUUAAAAUCAAAAUACAAUUGGCAUAACAACACAACAGAUGACGAGUGGAUAAAUCAAGGAAAAGAGCAAAUACGUCUAAUUAAAUUUUGUGAAGAAGAGAAUAGUAUAAUCUCACAUUAUGAUUCGAUUAAUAUCGGCGAUCAAUGUAUUUGAACUGUUAUUCAUCUGUGAGAUGAUAGAACACAUUAUAUUGUCACAUAAUAAUGACGUUGGAAAUAAUAUGCACCAUGAACAUAAAAUACCAAACUCAACUGAUUUGUUGGUAGAGGACAAUUUAUAUAAUUAUUAUUGGAUAAGUCUUUCAACGUGGUCAUUAUUGUUAUUAGUAUUACGUAAAACUUCAAUCUCUUUUAUAUCUCACCUCGUGUCUAACUUUAUAUUCGAUACUUGGCGUCAAGCUGAGGAACCUCAGGCAGUUUUCCAUGGAUUAGGUCAUAUGCGAUCUAAUCCAUUCCAUCGCACGAUGCGAUCCCCCGGUUAACGAUGAUCGGAUCAUGCUCGGGCGCGGUCAGAAUCCUGCCGCUAGUCGGGGGCAUGGUGCUUCCCUUCGUGAGUAAAAAACCUGCUGCGGUGACACCGCUUCGUCUAUAUCCAUUAUAUUCUUUACUAUUCGUGGCCCUGAAAACUUAAUAAUCGAGUGGACUAGAGAUACGUACUGUACCGCAUGACAGAUGAGGAAUGACUUUAUAAUACUUUAUAUGUAUAAUCAUAAUAAAUUAAAAACUGAAAUUGUUAGUGUAGAGGCAUAAUUUAAUCUGUUAUUCAUAUUUUAAGUAAUACUACAAUAUAAAGCAUAUUAAAUUGUGUUAAGGAACAUACUUUUAUGUAAUUAUUGAAUGGAUAUAAUUUAUAUAUAUACUCUAAGUUUUAAGGUACCUAAAUGUACUAUUGCCGGGACACUUAAGACUUAUGUCUAUAGACACCUUUAUCAUUUUAGUUUUUAAAUAAGUAUAAAGCGAAUUAAA